rnacentral:rRNA from 1 species
UCAGAACGAACGCUGGCGGCAGGCUUAACACAUGCAAGUCGAGCGCCCCGCAAGGGGAGCGGCAGACGGGUGAGUAACGCGUGGGAAUCUACCCUUGACUACGGAAUAACGCAGGGAAACUUGUGCUAAUACCGUAUGUGUCCUUCGGGAGAAAGAUUUAUCGGUCAAGGAUGAGCCCGCGUUGGAUUAGCUAGUUGGUGGGGUAAAGGCCUACCAAGGCGACGAUCCAUAGCUGGUCUGAGAGGAUGAUCAGCCACAUUGGGACUGAGACACGGCCCAAACUCCUACGGGAGGCAGCWGUGGGGAAUAUUGGACKAAUGGGCGCAAGCCUGAUCCAGCCWUGCCGCGUGAGUGAUGAAGGCCCUAGGGUUGUAAAGCUCU